AUACGGAGGGUCCAAGCGUUAUCCGGAUUCAUUGGGUUUAAAGGGUCCGCAGGCGGGAAAAUAAGUCAGUGGUGAAAGCCUACAGCUCAACUGUAGAACUGCCAUUGAAACUGUUUUUCUUGAGUAUAGAUGAAGUGGGCGGAAUAUAUCAUGUAGCGGUGAAAUGCAUAGAUAUGGUAUAGAACACCGAUUGCGAAGGCAGCUCACUAAACUAUUACUGACGCUCAGGGACGAAAGCGUGGGGAGUGAACAGGAUUAGAUACCCCAGUAGUCC
rnacentral:rRNA from 1 species